ACAGCUGCAGGAGGAUGAAGGAUGCUCAGUAACACCUGCUGGAAAAGAACAACCCACCAUGGUUUGAUCUGCUGCUAAAGGUAACAAAACCAUCCUUCUCCUCCAGAAGAAAACUGCUUGAGCACUACUCCCUCAGAGCAAAGGCUGUGUUCAAUAACAGUCAACUUCAUUAUCCUCUAUGGUCCCCACAGCAGCAAGGAUGUCCUGUAGGAGGGACUGAGGGCUUUCCUCCACAUGGUCACUACUUUUAUUUAGCUCAUCAUGCAGCUCCAGCAAGUCUAUUGCACCCAAAGCUAACAUCAUGCUCUCUGGAUCUUGGAAAUCCACCCCAACAUCACCAUCCACGGGGAAGUUCUGAGCCAGAGAACCCUGUCUUAGUGUCCUCUGUAGCCAGGCAAUGCCACGUCCUGCAGGUGAAUCUUCAAUCUCCUGUGGGUUCUCCAAAGUACUCAUGGGGUAGAAAUGGCCUCUCAGGCCAACCAGCACAUCACAGGCUCUCUGCCCCACGGGUUUGUCACAGUCACACAAAGAGCCAAACAAAAACCCAAACAGCUUUGCUCGACAGAACACCUGCAGCAGCUCCUUCUGAGGGGUGGAACUGGGGACUGCAGAGGUGACAGGAGCAUAGGGACACUGGGAGAGCUGGCAAACGGUCUGGCUACAAAAAACUUCAACCAGCUCCAAACCACCGAGUCUGACUUCCCAGUCUAAGUCAUGCUCCACAGUCUGGAUGACUCUAGAGACAAAGUGCUCUGUAUCUUCCAGCUGACCUGUGCAGCCUUCUCUCAGCCACUUGGUGAAGAUGCUGAUCACAGCCCUCCUAGGAAAGCCCUCUGAGUCUGUUGACAAGAUUUCCUGAAGCUUUGCUACGAGGCUCUGGAUGCAAAAAGACAAAAGAGAAAGCACAGUGAGGGGAGGAGCACACAAAGAAACAAAAACAGCAGAGGUGAAAAAUCUUCUCAUUACUGGCUGUGCAACCUGCCUGCAUCAGCAGAUAACUUGGGAAGAAAAUUAUAAGCAGUACAGCAGUAAACUGAUGGGAAUUGCUCAUGCAGAAAAGGUUAUCCUACCUCUCUGUUAUACUGACUGCCUGUGACAGCCCUCCAGUUAGAGGUCAGAAGAUACUUCACCAGCCUGACUUUCACAGCAUUACAGGAAAUACUCCUCAAAUCUGAACUGGUAAAGCUUUGCACUUACCUCUCAAGCACUUAACCAUGGAAGUGAGGAACUCCAGGGAAGAAUCUCUGACUUCCCAGCAAGGACUGCACAAACGUUUCUGCAGCACCACCAGCACAUCUGUAAAAGGCAAGUGGCAAAUCUGAAUGAAUGUGAAAGGUAACAAACCUUACUGAAACACUCACUGUACAUGCUCUACAUCAUUUCAUCUCAUACAAUCCCUUUUGCUGCUGCUGGGUGCUUCUUCCAGAGCUCUGCAAAGCUGAACUUCGCAGCUAAACUUAAAUUCAACAUAAUUGUGAACAAGUGAGUCCAGUGCUUUGAGCAGGAAGGGUAGGCAGGAGCAGAUUUCAUGUGUGCCACUAGCUGCUGUUUGUCCCAGCUGGAACAGCUUCAUUACCUUCCAAAAUCUUCUCAGUUUGUGGCCCCUGGCUGUUGGAGGAGGACAGCUCCUGCAAGUGCACCAACCACUUGGAUGUAGCUUGAAAGGUUUUCUUUAGAACCUGAAGCAAUGUAAAGCAGAUUGACUUUACUACAGGGGGACACAGUGCUGCCUUUAUGCCUUUAAAAGUAAAAUUAAUUUUAGCCUCAAACUUACAGAGAAAUUAUCAGAGUAAAAAGUGCAUAUGCCUCCUUACUAAGAAGCCGGCCACAAAAAAAAUGGUGCUUAAAUACAAUUUCUAACAAACACCUAGAAAAUCCCUGUGUUCAGCUUAGUGUUAUGAAGUUCUAUACCUCCAGCUUUGGGUUUGCAGUUGCCACCAGAGUCAUUAAAACUAAACCAAGAAAAAAAACAAAUCCCCUUGAUCAAAAGCAUUCAAUACUUCAUGACCAUGUCAAGCUGAGUAUGUCAGUGCUACUCUUAGACAUGAUGGCUCCUGUCUUCUCAAGAACCCUCAAUGAACUGGUCAUUUACUUGCUCAUUACAAUUUUAGAUAUUUUCUGCAAGCCACCCAGGACAAGACAAGUGUCCUACAUAUUCUAACACAAAGUGUGCUAAGAAACACCUGCAGUCAGACCCUUUAUGGGAAUUACACCCCACUGGGGCACAUGGAUAGACCUGGAUCUCUCCCUAGUUCUGUACUCACAGUAGGGCUGGUGUUUGGACUCUGCAGAUAUGCCAGGAGGACAUCAAACAGAUUUCCUAUGAGAGUGUCACACUCUGAAACAGAGAAAACAAACCCAAAGGGCCAAUACUGAGAGAUGGAGCAGCCAAAUCCCUGCUGAAAUACACAAAGACACAGAAUUGUAAAAUUGUUUUGGAUAAGGAAGCAAAGAUGAACUCACCUUUUUU